rnacentral:rRNA from 1 species
UGGGGAAUUUUCCGCAUUGGGCGAAAGCCUGACGGAGCAAGACCGCGUGAGGGAGGAAGGCCUUUGGGUUGUAAACCUCUUUUCUCAGGGAAGAAGAAAGUGACGGUACCUGAGGAAUCAGCCUCGGCUAACUCCGUGCCAGCAGCCGCGGUAAUACGGAGGAGGCAAGCGUUAUCCGGAAUUAUUGGGCGUAAAGCGUCCGCAGGUGGUUUUUCAAGUCCGCUGUCAAAGACCGGACCUUAACUCCGGAGAGGCUGAAGAAACUGAGGAACUGGAGACCGGUAGGGGUAGAGGGAAUUCCCAGUGUAGCGGUGAAAUGCGUAGAGAUUGGGAAGAACAGCAGUGGCGAAAGCGCUCUACUGGGCCGGUACUGACACUCACAGGACGAAAGCUAGGGGAGCGAAAGGGAUUAGAUACCCCCGUAGUCC